UUAUCGGAGAGUUUGAUCCUGGCUCAGGACGAACGCUGGCGGCGUGCCUAAUACAUGCAAGUCGAGCGGACAGAUGGGAGCUUGCUCCCUGAUGUUAGCGGCGGACGGGUGAGUAACACGUGGGUAACCUGCCUGUAAGACUGGGAUAACUCCGGGAAACCGGGGCUAAUACCGGAUGCUUGUUUGAACCGCAUGGUUC
rnacentral:rRNA from 2 species